rnacentral:sRNA from 1 species
GCUAUGCGCGAUUCGGCAGGAUGAGAACCUGCUGCAGGUCGAGUCGAACGCAGUGAGACACCGGAGCCGUUUGCGGCGACGGCCCGAAGGGCGAGCGAAACGAGUCAUCCUGCACGACCCACCA